rnacentral:rRNA from 1 species
UGUGAGCUCGAUGAGUAGGGCGGGACACGUGGUAUCCUGUCUGAAUAUGGGGGGACCAUCCUCCAAGGCUAAAUACUCCUGACUGACCGAUAGUGAACCAGUACCGUGAGGGAAAGGCGAAAAGAACCCCGGCGAGGGGAGUGAAAAAGAACCUGAAACCGUGUACGUACAAGCAGUGGGAGCACGCUUAGGCGUGUGACUGCGUACCUUUUGUAUAAUGGGUCAGCGACUUAUAUUCUGUAGCAAGGUUAACCGAAUAGGGGAGCCGAAGGGAAACCGAGUCUUAACUGGGCGUUAAGUUGCAGGGUAUAGACCCGAAACCCGGUGAUCUAGCCAUGGGCAGGUUGAAGGUUGGGUAACACUAACUGGAGGACCGAACCGACUAAUGUUGAAAAAUUAGCGGAUGACUUGUGGCUGGGGGUGAAAGGCCAAUCAAACCGGGAGAUAGCUGGUUCUCCCCGAAAGCUAUUUAGGUAGCGCCUCGUGAAUUCAUCUCCGGGGGUAGAGCACUGUUUCGGCAAGGGGGUCAUCCCGACUUACCAACCCGAUGCAAACUGCGAAUACCGGAGAAUGUUAUCACGGGAGACACACGGCGGGUGCUAACGUCCGUCGUGAAGAGGGAAACAACCCAGACCGCCAGCUAAGGUCCCAAAGUCAUGGUUAAGUGGGAAACGAUGUGGGAAGGCCCAGACAGCCAGGAUGUUGGCUUAGAAGCAGCCAUCAUUUAAAGAAAGCGUAAUAGCUCACUGGUCGAGUCGGCCUGCGCGGAAGAUGUAACGGGGCUAAACCAUGCACCGAAGCUGCGGCAGCGACACUAUGUGUUGUUGGGUAGGGGAGCGUUCUGUAAGCCUGUGAAGGUGUGCUGUGAGGCAUGCUGGAGGUAUCAGAAGUGCGAAUGCUGACAUAAGUAACGAUAAAGCGGGUGAAAAG